GUACCUACGGGGGGCAGCAGUGGGGAAUUUUGGACAAUGGGCGCAAGCCUGAUCCAGCUAUUCCGCGUGUGGGAUGAAGGCCCUCGGGUUGUAAACCACUUUUGUAGAGAACGAAAAGACACCUUCGAAUAAAGGGUGUUGCUGACGGUACUCUAAGAAUAAGCACCGGCUAACUACGUGCCAGCAGCCGCGGUAAUACGUAGGGGGCAAGCGUUAUCCGGAUUUACUGGGCGUAAAGGGAGCGUAGGCGGUGCAGCAAGUCAGAAGUGAAAGCCCGGGGCUCAACCCCGGGAGUGCUUUUGAAA
rnacentral:rRNA from 1 species